rnacentral:rRNA from 1 species
GAUGAACGCUGGCGGCGUGCCUAAUACAUGCAAGUCGAGCGAACAGACGAGGAGCUUGCUCCUCUGACGUUAGCGGCGGACGGGUGAGUAACACGUGGAUAACCUACCUAUAAGACUGGGAUAACUUCGGGAAACCGGAGCUAAUACCGGAUAAUAUAUUGAACCGCAUGGUUCAAUAGUGAAAGACGGUUUUGCUGUCACUUAUAGAUGGAUCCGCGCCGCAUUAGCUAGUUGGUAAGGUAACGGCUUACCAAGGCAACGAUGCGUAGCCGACCUGAGAGGGUGAUCGGCCACACUGGAGCUGAGAAACGGUCCAGACUCCUACGGGAGGCAGCAGUAGGGAAUCUUCCGCAAUGGGCGAAAGCCUGACGGAGCAACGCCGCGUGAGUGAUGAAGGUCUUCGGAUCGUAAAACUCUGUUAUCAGGGAAGAACAAAUGUGUAAGUAACUAUGCACGUCUUGACGGUACCUAAUCAGAAAGCCACGGCUAACUACGUG